UACGGAGGGUGCAAGCGUUAUCCGGAUUCACUGGGUUUAAAGGGUGCGUAGGCGGGUUGGUAAGUCCGUGGUGAAAUCUCCAAGCUUAACUUGGAAACUGCCGUGGAUACUAUCAAUCUUGAAUAUAGUGGAGGUGAGCGGAAUAUGUCAUGUAGCGGUGAAAUGCUUAGAUAUGACAUAGAACACCCAUUGCGAAGGCAGCUAACGAAACUAUAACUGACGCUGAGGCACGAAAGUGCGGGGAUCAAACAGG
rnacentral:rRNA from 1 species